UUUCGCAAUGCCCGAAAGGGUGACGAAGCGACGCCGCGUGGGUGAGGAAGGCCUUCGGGUUGUGAAGCCCUGUCAGGAGUUAUGAAAUGUAAGUGCGCUAAUAUCGUGCUUAUUUGACAAAGGCUCCAAAGGAAGCCACGGCUAACUCUGUGCCAGCAGCCGCGGUAAUACAGAGGUGGCGAGCGUUGUUCGGAAUUAUUGGGCGUAAAGAGCACGUAGGUGGGUUUGCAAGUCAGAUGUGAAAGCCUUCUGUUCAACGGAAGAAUUGCAUCUGAAACUGCUAAUCUUGAGUAUAGGAGGGGAGAAUGGAACUUCUGGUGGAGCGGUGAAAUGCGUAGAUAUCAGAAGGAACGCCGGCGGCGAAAGCGAUUCUCUGGCCUAUUACUGACACUCAGUGUGCGAAAGCUAGGGGAGCAAACGGGAUUAGAUACCCCGGUAGUCCUAGCCGUAAACGAUGGGCACUAAGUAGAGGGGUUUUA
rnacentral:rRNA from 1 species